rnacentral:rRNA from 1 species
UGAGGAAUAUUGGGCAAUGCCCGCAAGGGUGACCCAGCAACGCCGCGUGGAGGAUGAAUGUCGUAAGAUUGUAAACUCCUGUUAGAGGGGAAGAAUAGUACCGGUUGGACCGGUAUAUGACUGUACCCUCAGAGAAAGCCCCGGCUAACUACGUGCCAGCAGCCGCGGUAAUACGUAGGGGGCAAGCGUUGUCCGGAUUUACUGGGUGUAAAGGGCGCGCAGGCGGGAUAAAAAGUCAGUGGUGAAAUCCUACAGCUUAACUGUAGAACUGCCUUUGAUACUUUUAUUCUUGAGUUCGGGAGAGAGACGGAAUUCCUGGUGUAGUGGUGAAAUACGUAGAUAUCUGGAAGAACACCAGUUGCGAAGGCGGUCUCUUGGUCCGACACUGACGCUGAGGCGCGAAAGCGUGGGGAGCAAACA